rnacentral:tRNA from 1 species
CUAGGUGACUCAGUGGAUAGAGUGUUAGACUUGGAGUCUAAAAGACCCAAGUUUGAAUCUUGCUUUAG